rnacentral:rRNA from 1 species
GGUGAACGCUGGCGGUAGGCCUAACACAUGCAAGUCGAACGGCAGCACAGGAGAGCUUGCUCUCUGGGUGGCGAGUGGCGGACGGGUGAGGAAUACAUCGGAAUCUACUUUUUCGUGGGGGAUAACGUAGGGAAACUUACGCUAAUACCGCAUACGACCUACGGGUGAAAGCAGGGGACCUUCGGGCCUUGCGCGAUUGAAUGAGCCGAUGUCGGGUUAGCUAGUUGGCGGGGGAAAGGCCCACCAAGGCGGCGAUCCGUAGCUGGGCUGGUAGGAUGGUCAGCCACACUGGAAGUGAGGAGCGGGACAGGAUCCUACGGGAGGCAGCAGUGGGGAAUCUUGGACAAUGGGCGCAAGCCUGAUCCAGCCAUACCGCGUGGGUGAAGAGGGCCUUCGGGUUGUAAAGCCCUUUUGUUGGGAAAGAAAUCCAGCUGGCUAAUACCCGGUUGGGAUGACGGUACCCAAAGAAUAAGCACCGGCUAACUUCGUGCCAGCCGCCGCCGUAA